rnacentral:lncRNA from 1 species
UAAAAAUCACACAACAUAUAAGCUUCACAUAUCGAUUAUUUAAAUUAUUGUUACAUAAUUGAGAACUUUGAACUCCUUUGUUACUCUCUGAUCAGAGCAACUACUAAUUCUUGCACCUUUCUUCAACAAAGUUGCAGAUUACCUUAGAUAGUCAGUCAAACUUUUCCUGUGGAAACACCGAUGGUGAAGGGAAAGACAACACAAGUUAACUGCUUGUCGUUCUGAUCCUUAAAUGUCAGCUUCACAUUAUAGGUACCCUGCAAAAGAAGCACAAUUAUAACAGAUAUUAGGAAACGAACUCAACAAGUUAUCUUAAUUAAAUGUUAGAGAAAGACAGUAAUGCUAUAACAUCGGAAAUUCUUGAAGACCAAAACAAAACUACCCUUAAGAAUCCAAGGUGUUUGAGUAAGUUAGAAUAACGUUGAUCUAGUAAAGAAGUACUCUUACAGAAUUACAGAUAGAACCUUCUAAAACUAAAAUUUUAAAUGAAGAUAAAGACAACAAAAGUGAUUCCACAAAAUCUUUGCUGCAACAGCUUACAUGUAUAGAUAAAGCCAGUACAAGCAGGGGAUGAAGAUGAAAAAUCAAUUUCUCUUGAUCACGGAUAACAGAAUACCAUCGUCAUUAUCAGUACUUUCUAGUUACGAACAUCAAUUUCACAAUACGUCUUGCCUUAUUUAAAGCUAGAACCUAAAAGAGAAACUUACCGGUGGAGUGACGGGAGGCAAUAAUUCGGUGUGAGUGAGCAAAAAGUGGCCUGGAGCAACGGGAAGUGGUGUUUCCUCACUGAGAGCAUGGUGAAAUAUAGCAGGUUGUCCUUCUAUCCCAGCAAAUGAAAUUUCAUAUAUUAAAUCACCACUAAGAAUUGUAUGACCAGUAUAAGCUUUGAUUUUGAAGGUGAAUGGCUCUCCCCUGACCACAGGGUUAGGUAAUAUUUCUACAUUGCUGAUCUGC